UGGGGAAUUUUGCACAAUGGGGGAAACCCUGAUGCAGCGACGCCGCGUGAUUUAGAAGGCCUUCGGGUUGUAAAAAUCUUUUCUAUGGGAAGAAAAUGACAGUACCAUAGGAUUAAGGACCGGCUAAUUACGUGCCAGCAGCCGCGGUAAUACGUAAGGUCCGGGCGUUGUCCGGAAUCAUUGGGCGUAAAGGGUACGUAGGCGGGUAAGCAAGUUAGAAGUGAAAUCCUAUAGCUCAACUAUAGUAAGCUUUUAAAACUGCUCAGCUUGAGGUAUGGAAGGGAGAGUGGAAUUCCUAGUGUAGCGGUGAAGUGCGCAGAUAUGAGGAGGAGUACCGGUGGAGAAGGCGACGUUCUGGCCAGAACCUGACGCUGAGGUACGAAAGCGUGGGGAGCAAACAGG
rnacentral:rRNA from 1 species